rnacentral:misc_RNA from 1 species
AACUAACGCGUUUUUUGUUACAGUUUCUGUACUUUAUUGGUAUGAGAAACUUCCAGAACUUUCAUAGUUCUAGGGAAAUUCUGGAACAAUAGCCUUCGGGCUG